rnacentral:rRNA from 1 species
UACGAAGGGGGCUAGCGUUGUUCGGAAUCACUGGGCGUAAAGGGCGCGUAGGCGGCUUUAUAAGUCGGGGGUGAAAGCCUGUGGCUCAACCACAGAAUUGCCUUCGAUACUGUAGGGCUUGAGACCGGAAGAGGUUAGUGGAACUGCGAGUGUAGAGGUGAAAUUCGUAGAUAUUAGGAAGAACACCAGUGGCGAAGGCGGCUCACUGGCCCGGUACUGACGCUGAGGCGCGAAAGCGUGGGGAGCAAACAGG